rnacentral:rRNA from 1 species
UACGUAGGGCGCGAGCGUUGUCCGGAAUUAUUGGGCGUAAAGAGCUCGUAGGCGGCUUGUCACGUCGGGUGUGAAAGACCGGGGCUUAACUCCGGUUCUGCAUUCGAUACGGGCUAGCUAGAGUGUGGUAGGGGAGAUCGGAAUUCCUGGUGUAGCGGUGAAAUGCGCAGAUAUCAGGAGGAACACCGGUGGCGAAGGCGGAUCUCUGGGCCAUUACUGACACUGAAUCGCGAAAGCUAGGGGAGCAAACGGG